rnacentral:rRNA from 1 species
AGUGAACGCUGGCGGUAGGCCUAACACAUGCAAGUCGAACGGCAGCACAGUAAGAGCUUGCUCUUACAGGUGGCGAGUGGCGGACGGGUGAGGAAUACAUCGGAAUCUACUUUUUCGUGGGGGAUAACGUAGGGAAACUUACGCUAAUACCGCAUACGACCUACGGGUGAAAGCAGGGGAUCUUCGGACCUUGCGCGAUUGAAUGAGCCGAUGUCGGAUUAGCUAGUUGGCGGGGUAAAGGCCCACCAAGGCGACGAUCCGUAGCUGGUCUGAGAGGAUGAUCAGCCACACUGGAACUGAGACACGGUCCAGACUCCUACGGGAGGCAGCAGUGGGGAAUAUUGGACAAUGGGCGCAAGCCUGAUCCAGCCAUACCGCGUGGGUGAAGAAGGCCUUCGGGUUGUAAAGCCCUUUUGUUGGGAAAGAAAAGCGGCAGGUUAAUACCCCGCUGUUCUGACGGUACCCAAAGAAUAAGCACCGGCUAACUUCGUG